UACGUAGGGUGCAAGCGUUGUCCGGAAUUAUUGGGCGUAAAGAGCUCGUAGGCGGUUUGUCGCGUCUGCUGUGAAAACUGGAGGCUCAACCUCCAGCCUGCAGUGGGUACGGGCAGACUAGAGUGCGGUAGGGGAGAUUGGAAUUCCUGGUGUAGCGGUGAAAUGCGUAGAUAUCUGGAGGAACACCGGUGGCGAAGGCGGCAUCCUGGACCGGCAUUGACGCUGAGGCGCGAAAGCCAGGGGAGCAAACGGG
rnacentral:rRNA from 1 species